GAGAAAAGAAACAUAAAAAAGUUGUAGGGUUUCUUCAGGAAUAUCCCCUCAGUUGAGUCUGAGCAGUGAGUGUGAGCUAAAUUUGGGGUCAACAAACUUUCUCUGUGAAAUGCUAGAUGCUAAAUAUUUUGGACUUUGCAGGCCAAAUGGUUUACGUCAUAACUACUUAACUUAUAAUAGCAGCCAUAGAAAAUAGAUACAAGUGUGGAUUAGUUCCAAUAAAACUUCAUUUAUAAAAAUGUGUUAGGUUAGAUUAGGCAGGAGAAUCAUAAUAGUUGGCCCUUGAAAUGAAGGAAACCAAUGAGCUGUGAUGUGAAAUGUUGUCUGUUAUUCCUGGCUACCCUACAAACAUAAAUAAAACUUAUUGACUUUUCUAAUAUUGGAACGAAUAUCUUAAAUUGGAGAGCCCACCUACAGGGGCCUUCUUGCUCUGAGCGCCUCAUGCAGCCAUUUCUAACCCCUGAGGCUGAGAAGACUCACCGAGGAUGGGGAGAGCUCUGCCUCAGGCCUCAGGAGGUGCACGCUUUGGUCCACGGCACGGACGGCACAGAGCGACCGAGGAGAAGCUGUGACUCGCAGGUGGGCGGGCGAGGCUGGAAGACUCAGUUCUGGGCUGAAGCUCAAAUCUACCUGCGAGAUAUGAAGGAACAGUCAUCCCGCACUUCUGUUUGUGUCCUCCUGCGGAGACCUCAUCCCUGGGCCACCCUGACAUUCAGCUUUAAUGACCGUGCUCGGAGCAUCAGUCAGGAAGGAGCCUCUCUUCUCAUCUCGCCUUUGCUGUUGAAAGGCUGUGUUGCUUUAAGGACACAACGGAGGGUCAUCAGGGACAGAUGCCUUGCUUGAAUGUUAGAGGCACAUUAUUGCCUCUGAUUCAUAAUCAAGUGUUUCUAUUUGUUCUUCAAGGUUUUGAAGCUUUGGAGUCACAGCAUCUUAUUUCCCUCACUCAAUUGGAUCCAUGCAAUUGGGCGCCAAGGAUACAAAGCUAAAUUAUAUUUUAUGUGCAAGCAAUUUUGUGGAAUUGGGAAAUUAUUGUGCUGGCUGCCUGGAAACUUUGGGCAACUCAUUUUACUUUUCUGGAUUCAUUCCUCCCCCCUCCCCUUCUGAGGUAAAGUAUGAUACCAUUUAUUUGUGUUGUAUGAUUUUUUUGCUAAAGACACUCACCUUGUUGGCCAGACAGUUUUCAAUCUCAAAACUCUGUGAAUCUCCAAUAACUUCUCCAUUUGGGAAAAUGGUAAAGAUGAACAUUCGUGCAGUGGGAGCAAUGUCUGACUUCACAGGGAGGGCUAAGGAAAAACUGCCUCUCACUGGGGCACAGAGAGAGUGAGACAAAAUGGUCACAGGUCAGCAUGCUUUCCUAGGUCGUAUCCAACUGAGAACCGUGCCCAUGCAUUCACUGGCUUAACCUCCUUAGGCCAUUCUAGUGAAGGGAUAAACAUUAAUAGGCUAAUGUCUCCCUUCACAACUUCCAUUGUAGAAUAAGUUCCAGCUCCUUACGUUCACCCUUAUCUCUCCCUGAUUUAUGCCUAAAUGAACUUAAAUCUGAAUAGCUAAAAAAGUAGUCUGCUGAUAUAUACAUGUAUUUAAUUAAAGCCUGAUGGACUCAUUUAAAAAUUAAGAAUAAGACAUAUAUUUUGUGAUGAAUAGCAACCAUUUCUUUUUGGUUUCAGACAAGAGAUGAUUUUUCCAUUUAAAGAUAGAGCUGUAACUUGUAAGAUAAAAUCAUAAAGUUUAUUUUUUUUCAAAUAUAUGCCUUUUUGUUGUUGUUGUGAUGAGAAGACAACAAACAACAUGUACCAUUUUAACCAUUUUUUUAAAGAAUGCUUUAGUGGUGCUAAGUAUACUCACAUUGCUAUGAAACAGAUCUCCAGGUCUUUUUUCAUCUUGCAAAUCUGAAACUCUAUACCUAUUUAACAACUCACCAAUUUCCCCUUUCCCAACUUCUUGGGGACCAGAAAGGCAAGACUAUGGCAGUCGUGUAUUUGUAUCGUGGGAGAGGUCAAGUUUCAGCUUAUAAUUCUAAAAAAGAGUGAGCUCCCUUCUAAAAGGAGGGAAAUGUCAACCCUUGUAUUUGUUGUGUUGAGCUAACCAUACAUGGAAAGAAUAGAUUGAAAUAUUAUAAAAUGGAAAGAGAAGUUAUGGUACACUUUUUUUUGGCAGGGGAAGUUUUGGAGGGAAAGUAACCUCUUAGUAAUGUUCUGGCAGAGGAAGCUUUGGAAAGAAAAUAAACUCUCAAUAAUGUUUUGGCAGAGAAAGAAAGCUCUGGGCGGAAAGUGACCGAUUAGUAAUGAAAAUUGUGAAGGCUUUGUUAU